GACAGAGGCCUCAAGCGUUAGGCGGAAUCACUGGGCUUAAAGCGUGUGUAGGCGGAUGCCUAAGUACCUUGUGAAAUCCCACGGCUCAACCGUGGAACUGCUGGGUAUACUGGGCGUCUUGGGCCAUUCAGGGGCGACUGGAACAAGCGGUGGAGCGGUGAAAUGCGUAGAUAAUCGCUUGGAACGCCGGAAGGUGAAAACAGGUCGCUGGGGAUGUGCCGACGCUGAGACACGAAAGCCCAGGGGGAGCAAAACGGGGAUUAGAAAACCCCGG
rnacentral:rRNA from 1 species